GAUUGGUCCUCAGGUAGUGAGUUAUCUCCAUUGUUUAGUCAGUUACAGAUUGAACUUCUUUUUUCUACUCUUCCCUGCUUUUCACUGCUGCACUUGAUUAGUUUUUA
rfam:Callithrix jacchus chromosome 4, whole genome shotgun sequence